rnacentral:tRNA from 1 species
GAGCGUCGGGAUUGGUUAGAGCGCUACAUUCACAUUGUAGAGGUCAUAGGUUCGAGCCCUAUUACGCCCA